AUACGGAGGGCGCAAGCGUUGUUCGGAAUUACUGGGCGUAAAGCGCGUGUAGGCGGUUUGGAAAGUCGGAUGUGAAAUCCCUGGGCUCAACCCAGGAACUGCAUCCGAAACUUCUGGACUAGAGUCCCGGAGAGGAAGGCAGAAUUCCCAGUGUAGGGGUGAAAUCCGUAGAUAUUGGGAGGAAUACCUGAGGCGAAGGCGGCCUUCUGGACGGUGACUGACGCUGAGACGCGAAAGCGUGGGGAGCAAACAGGAUUAGAAACCCCAGUAGUCC
rnacentral:rRNA from 1 species